rnacentral:rRNA from 1 species
GAUGAACGCUGGCGGCGUGCCUAAUACAUGCAAGUCGAGCGAACAGACGAGGAGCUUGCUCCUCUGACGUUAGCGGCGGACGGGUGAGUAACACGUGGAUAACCUACCUAUAAGACUGGGAUAACUUCGGGAACCCGGAGCUAAUACCGGAUAAUAUAUUGAACCGCAUGGUUCAAUAGUGAAAGACGGUUUUGCUGUCACUUAUAGAUGGAUCCGAGCCGCAUUAGCUAGUUGGUAAGGUAACGGCUUACCAAGGCAACGAUGCGUAGCCGACCUGAGAGGGUGAUCGGCCACACUGGAACUGAGACACGGUCCAGACUCCUACGGGAGGCAGCAGUAGGGAAUCUUCCGCAAUGGGCGAAAGCCUGACGGAGCAACGCCGCGUGAGUGAUGAAGGUCUUCGGAUCGUAAAACUCUGUUAUUAGGGAAGAACAAAUGUGUAAGUAACUAUGCACGUCUUGACGGUACCUAAUCAGAAAGCCACGGCUAACUACGUG